rnacentral:rRNA from 1 species
UACGAAGGGGGCUAGCAUUGCUCGGAAUCACUGGGCGUAAAGCGCACGUAGGCGGGUUCUUAAGUCAGGGGUGAAAUCCUGGAGCUCAACUCCAGAACUGCCUUUGAUACUGGGAAUCUCGAGUCCGGGAGAGGUGAGUGGAACUGCGAGUGUAGAGGUGAAAUUCGUAGAUAUUCGCAAGAACACCAGUGGCGAAGGCGGCUCACUGGCCCGGUACUGACGCUGAGGUGCGAAAGCGUGGGGAGCAAACAGG